rnacentral:rRNA from 1 species
UACGUAGGUGGCAAGCGUUAUCCGGAAUUAUUGGGCGUAAAGAGCGCGCAGGUGGUUGAUUAAGUCUGAUGUGAAAGCCCACGGCUUAACCGUGGAGGGUCAUUGGAAACUGGUCGACUUGAGUGCAGAAGAGGGAAGUGGAAUUCCAUGUGUAGCGGUGAUAUGCGUAGAGAUAUGGAGGAACACCAGUGGCGAAGGCGGCUCCUGGUCUGUAACUGACACUGAGGCGCGAAAGCGUGGGGAGCAAACAGGAUUAGA